rnacentral:rRNA from 1 species
AUUGAACGCUGGCGGCAGGCCUCACACAUGCAAGUCGAACGAGUGGCGGACGGGUGAGUAAUGUCUGGGAAACUGCCUGAUGGAGGGGGAUAACUCCUGGAAACGGUAGCUAAUACCGCAUACCAUCGGAUGUGCCCAGAUGGGAUUAGCUAGUAGGUGGGGUAACGGCUCCCCUAGGCGACGAUCCCUAGCCGGUCUGAGAGGAUGACCAGCCAAACUGGAACUUAGACACGGUCCAGACUCCUAGGGGAGGCAGCAGUGGGGAAUAGGGCACAAUGGGCGAAAGCCUGAUGCAGCCAUGCAGCGUGUAUGAAGAAGGCCUUCGGGUUGUAAAGUACUUUCAGCGUGGAGGCGUUACCCGCAGAAGAAGCACCGGCUAACUCCGUGCCAGCAGCCGCGGUAAUUC